ensembl:lncRNA
AAGACUUCCUUAAUUUAUUAUCAUCAGUUGUAUGAAGAUCACAUCAUAUUUUCCAAGCUGUUCAUGGUGAAAUUUCCAUAAUUCCAAAGGGUUCAUAAACUUUUUCUCACAACUUCACAUAUAGUCUUUACCAUUAGAGCUUUUCCACAGUUUUCUUGGCUGUAAGAAUUGUAUGAGCAACAAAUACACCAGUCAGUCAGUUGGAGGGAAAAAUACUGCAUAUUAGAUCCACACAUCUUAAAAAUCAUUAUGUUCUCCUCUUUUACUUGAAUUAAAGUUUUGAAGAAUAAAUGUGUAAUGCCUCUUUGUAGUGUACAUCCCACAGAGAUGAAAACAUGGCAAAAUGGCUGUGUGAAGCAGAGACAGCAGCCCGUCACCUGCCUUGAAGUCUGUGUAAUGGCCCCAGGGAUCACGUUCAUGGGCAGCAGUGACAUGUCCACCUAGCCGCCCACCCACAGCCACUUUCAGCUUCAUGUUUUUUUCAUCAACCCACGUGCUGGUUUCAUUCUCUUCAGGAAGUUGUGGGAGAUGCAGACGUUGGCUUCCCAUUUUCCAAACAGAGACUUCCGAACCGAUGCAGAUGGGUCGUGGCCAACUGGACCCCGAUGAACGGCAACAUCGCCUCCACGUCAACCUGUGCCUCUACUGGGGAAUCCCUGGCCAUUUCCGCACAACCCGCCCAGCUUGCCCGCCGCAACCCAAUGUUAAGGUUAGUAAAUCGCAACUAACUGUAUCUAUGACUCUGGAGUGGCCGGGGAACAGAGUGGAGACGCGCGCUGGUAGAUUCCAGUGCAGCAAGCUGUUUUAUGAAUGCCGGUUUUCCUCACACACACAGCAUACCCAGACGAGCUUGAGAUGUACGCUUGUGGGUUGUUGGCUUUGACGCCCAACCAAUAGGGACUGGCUUAGUGGACUCACGCACCGAAUUGCUGCAUAUGUCGAUCGCGACUUGCCACCGCAAAGAACUCAUAUUUUACCUGGUGGCGUCACUGGACACACCAUUCAUCCUGGGCUUCACUUGGCUAGCACUACAUGACCCAGUGUUCUACUGGAGCACUAGGGACUUAGUUUUUUGGGGACCACAGUGCAAAUGCUCCUGCCUGUAGCUUCUGUGUCAGGUCACCUGUGUUGAAACUGCUGCGGAUACACCAGCAGUAGUGAUACCGUCUGAAUAUCAGGACUUAAGCGAGGCAUUCAGUAAACGUGAGCAGUGGCGCUGCCCCCGGACCAGCCGUGGGACUGCGCCAUCAACCUUCUUCCAGGAACCACACCCCCCUGUGGGAAGGUGUAUCCCUUGUCUCUCCCUGAACAAAAAGUCAUGCAGGAAUAUAUCACUGAAGCACUGAAUGCAGGCUACAUUUGACCAUCUAAGUCCCCACCCUCCGCAGGUUUCUUUUUCGUGGAGAAGAAGGACAGAGGUCUGCGCCCCUGUAUUGAUUAUUGUGGGUUGAAUGCUAUUAUGGUAUGAUACCCACACCCCCUGCCUUUGAUCACGGCAGCAUUAGAACGAGUGCAUAGUACAAAAAUUUUAACAAAACUGGACCUUCACAGUGCCUACAACCUGAUCCGAGUCAGGGAGGGGGAUGAGUGGAAUACCACCUUUAGCUCCACCCUGGGCCACUAUGAGUAUUUGGUCAUGCCUUUCGGUCUGUCUAACGCACCCUCAGUGUUCCAGGCUUUUGUCAAUCACAUACUAGGUGAUCUGAUGGACGAUUGUGUCCUGGUGUACCUGGAAGACAUUCUGAUCUUCUCCAAGUCCUGAGACCAACAUGUCCGCCAGGUAAGGACCGUUUUGCAGCGGCUCCUGCAAAAUCACUUCUGUGUCAAGGGGGAGAAACGUCUGUUCCACCAGUCACGGGUGCCAAUCCUGGGCUACAUCCUGA